UUCCGGUUGAUCCUGCCAGCGGCCACCGCUAUUGGAAUUCGAUUAAGACACGUGAGUUGAGAGUCGUAAGGACUCGGCAGACCGCGCAGUAACACGCGGAUAAUAUGCCCGUAGGUGGAGGAUAACCUCGGGAAACUGAGAAUAAUACUCCAUAGAUCUAGGAUGCUGGAAUGCUUCUAGGUCGAAAACUCCGGUGCCUAAGGAUUAGUCUGCGGCGUAUCAGGUAGUAGUGGGUGUAACGGACCCACUAGCCUAUGACGCGUAAGGGCCUUGAGAGAGGGAGCCCUGAGAUGGACUCUGAGACAUGAGCCCAGGGCCUACGGGGCGCAGCAGUCGCGAAAACUUCACAAUGGGGGAAACCCCGAUGAGGGAAUUCCAAGUGUCAGCACAUUGUGUUGACUGUUCCCGUGUCUAAAAAACACGAGAAGUAAGGGCCGGGUAAGACGGGUGCCAGCCGCCGCGGUAAUACCCGCGGCCCGAGUGGUGGUCGAUAUUAUUGAGCCUAAAACGUUCGUAGCCGGUCUUGUAAAUCCUUGGGUAAAUCGGCCAGCUUAACUGUCCGAAGUCCGGGGAGACUGCAAGACUUGGGAUCGGGAGAGGUCAGAGGUACUUCUGGGGUAGGGGUAAAAUCCUGUAAUCCUAGAAGGACCACCGGUGGCGAAGGCGUCUGACUAGAACGAAUUCGACGGUGAGGAACGAUGCCCUGGGGCGCAAAGGGGAUUAGAUACCCCGGUAGUCCAGGGUGUAAACGCUGCGGGCUUGGUGUUGGGGGUCCUAGUGGGCGCCCAGUGCCGGAGAGAAGUUGUUAAGCCUGCUGCUUGGGGAGUACGUCCGCAAGGAUGAAACUUAAAGGAAUUGGCGGGGGAGCACCGCAACGGGAGGAGCGUGCGGUUCAAUUGGAUUCAACGCCGGAA
rnacentral:rRNA from 1 species